AUACCUACCUGGCAAGACAGAUACCGUGAUCACGAAAGUGAUUUUCCCAGGGCAAGACUUAUCUAUAGCACUUGGUUGUGCUGACUCUUGCGAUAUCGCCAAAUGUGGGAAACUCGACUGCAAAAUUUGUGGUAGUGGGGGACUGCAUUUGCACUCUCCCC
ensembl:snRNA U1 U1 spliceosomal RNA